UACGAAGGGGGCUAGCGUUGUUCGGAUUUACUGGGCGUAAAGCGCACGUAGGCGGAUCUUUAAGUCAGAGGUGAAAUCCCAAGGCUCAACCUUGGAACUGCCUUUGAUACUGGGGAUCUCGAGUCCGGGAGAGGUGAGUGGAACUGCGAGUGUAGAGGUGAAAUUCGUAGAUAUUCGCAAGAACGCCAGUGGCGAAGGCGGCUCACUGGCCCGGUACUGACGCUGAGGUGCGAAAGCGUGGGGAGCAAACAGGAUUAGAU
rnacentral:rRNA from 1 species